UGGGAAUUUUGGACAAUGGGGGCAACCCUGAUCCAGCAAUGCCGCGUGUGUGAAGAAGGCCUUCGGGUUGUAAAGCACUUUUGUCCGGAAAGAAAACGCCGUGGUUAAUACCCGUGGCGGAUGACGGUACCGGAAGAAUAAGCACCGGCUAACUACGUGCCAGCAGCCGCGGUAAUACGUAGGGUGCAAGCGUUAAUCGGAAUUACUGGGCGUAAAGCGUGCGCAGGCGGUCCGCUAAGACAGAUGUGAAAUCCCCGGGCUUAACCUGGGAACUGCAUUUGUGACUGGCGGGCUAGAGUAUGGCAGAGGGGGGUAGAAUUCCACGUGUAGCAGUGAAAUGCGUAGAGAUGUGGAGGAAUACCGAUGGCGAAGGCAGCCCCCUGGGCCAAUACUGACGCUCAUGCA
rnacentral:rRNA from 1 species